GGUAGUCCACGCCGUAAACGAUGAUAACUAGCUGUCCGGGGACUUGGUCCUUGGGUGGCGCAGCUAACGCAUUAAGUUAUCCGCCUGGGGAGUACGGCCGCAAGGUUAAAACUCAAAUGAAUUGACGGGGGCCUGCACAAGCGGUGGAGCAUGUGGUUUAAUUCGAAGCAACGCGCAGAACCUUACCAGCGUUUGACAUGGUAGGACGGCUCCGAGAGAUCGGUUUCUUCCCUUCGGGGACCUACACACAGGUGCUGCAUGGCUGUCGUCAGCUCGUGUCGCGAGAUGUUGGGUUAAGUCCCGCAACGAGCGCAACCCUCGCCUUUAGUUACCAUCAUUCAGUUGGGUACUCUAAAGGAACCGCCGGUGAUAAGCCGGAGGAAGGUGGGGAUGACGUCAAGUCCUCAUGGCCCUUACGCGCUGGGCUACACACGUGCUACAAUGGCAACUACAGUGGGCAGCAAUCCCGCGAGGGUGAGCUAAUCUCCAAAAGUUGUCUCAGUUCGGAUUGUUCUCUGCAACUCGAGAGCAUGAAGGCGGAAUCGCUAGUAAUCGCGGAUCAGCAUGCCGCGGUGAAUACGUUCCCAGGCCUUGUACACACCGCCCGUCACACCAUGGGAGUUGGAUUCACCCGAAGGCGUCGCGCUAACCGCAAGGAGGCAGGCGACCACGGUGGGUUUAGCGACUGGGGUGAAGUCGUAACAAGGUAACC
rnacentral:rRNA from 1 species